rnacentral:rRNA from 1 species
CGGAGGGUGCAAGCGUUAUCCGGAUUUACUGGGUUUAAAGGGUGCGUAGGUGGGUCUGUAAGUCAGUGGUGAAAUCUCCGAGCUUAACUCGGAAACUGCCAUUGAUACUAUAGGUCUUGAAUAUCCUGGAGGUAAGCGGAAUAUGUCAUGUAGCGGUGAAAUGCUUAGAUAUGACAUAGAACACCCAUUGCGAAGGCAGCUUACUACGGGAUCAUUGACACUGAGGCACGAAAGCGUGGGGAUCAAACAGGAUUAGAUACCCUGGUAGUCCACGCCCUAAACGAUGGAUACUCGACAUCAGCGAUACACUGUUGGUGUCUGAGCGAAAGCAUUAAGUAUCCCACCUGGGAAGUACGAUCGCAAGAUUG